AUACAAAAAUUCUCUUCCUUGAGCGUCGUGACAACAGUAUACAAAAAAAAAUUCGUUUGGUAUGAACAAUAACACAAAUGGAAUCAUAUAAAAUCUAAAAGUCUAUUAUCGGGUUGAAACUGUCAAGAUCUGGUUCUUAGUUCUGUCCAAUUCGGGGUAAAAAUGUCUUAAUCAUGAGUAAAUAUUUGUCACUAUUCUUGAGGGCACUUAAUAACUCUCUGUUUAGACAUGAUGGAUAUGAAUAAUAAGGAAGAAAAGCGAACAUUUUGGGUGCCAAAUACCACCAGCAUCUCUGACCAACCGUCUUUUGGGAAGGCAGAUGUAUUCUCCUCUUCAUUCUAAUUGGACGAUCACUGUUUAUGAAUGGGAAAAGUGAAAAACGUUGCCGUUUUCAGCUUCAAUUUCGACAUUCUUUAUACAUUGCUUUCUAGUACACAGUGAAGCAUAUUUCCUUAAAGAUGGCUUAUAAUAUAUAAUAUGUAAAAAAAAUGUAAAUGUGAAACACAAACAAUAUUUUAUCAAAUAAAUUUUUAUUCAACAUUUCGACAAAUAUUUUUCAAAUAUUAAUUUUAAGUAAUUUGUAACUGAAUUUACAAAUACAUAGAACAUGCAUCAAUAAGUAUUAUAUUACAAAAUAUUACAAAAACUAGUGUCAAGGCCAUAAAAAAAUAUUUGGAACAUUUGAGAAAUUUCAUCAUAGAAUGUGGAAAAUAUAAAUAAUAAACACAUAAAAAAAACAGAAAAGAUCUUUAAAUAACUACCCAAGAAUAUAUUACAAGAUUUCUCUUAUCUAAAUAUACUAACAAAAUCAGUACAAAUGGACGGUUUCUUCUGAGAUUAAACAAUAAGAAUGUUAAUGUUAAUUGAGUAUUUUUUUUACCCAAGCUUGAUCCUCAUUGUGGUUUCCUGAACAACAUUGUCUACAUUGAACACAACACUGUUCCAAGAACAAAUACAUAUAGGGAAGUACAGAUUAAAUUUGUCAAACAAACACAAUUCUUUAGUCAUAAUUCUAACUGCAGAUUUGAUAUGAACAAUACACAACUUUGUCGGUGUUUCACUGUCAUGAUUUAGAUAUAAAAAUAUACUUUUAAAAACUCAAUUGUAUAAUAUAGACUACGUACUUUCUAACAUCUCUACAAAAAUAUUUCGGUUUACCUAUCUAACAAUAAAAGUAUUCUCUAUCGAUGGCUUGAACAAAAUGUUGCACCAACAUUUCACAAUGAUGAAUUAGCAAAGAAACCAAUAACAUUCAUCGAUGUUGUAUACAAAUAGUGUGAAAUUUCCAAACUAAAAUUUGAUGAUUUUAACUUGAAGGACAUAUCGAAAAUGUUUACGUUCUAUACAAAAAUAUAUGGUAAGGACAAAUUUGUAAUUACAAAAAGCUGCGAUCUCCGAACUAUUUAUUUCAUUCGAUAUGACUCUUUAUCACGUUAAUAAAUUCCAUUUAGACAAUUGACUA